rnacentral:rRNA from 1 species
CGCGUAGGCGGAUAAUUAAGUCCGUUGUGAAAUAUCAGGGCUCAACCCUGAGCUUGCAUCGGAAACUGGUAAUCUUGAGGGCAGGAGAGGAAAGUGGAAUUCCACGUGUAGCGGUGAAAUGCGUAGAUAUGUGGAGGAACACCAGUGGCGAAGGCGACUUUCUGGACUGUAACUGACGCUGAGGCGCGAAAGCGUGGGGAGCAAACA